UACGGAGGGUGCAAGCGUUAUCCGGAUUUACUGGGCUUAAAGGGCGCGUAGGCGGGUUGGUAAGUCAGUGGUGAAAUACUUUCGCUUAACGAAGGAACUGUCAUUGAUACUACCAGUCUUGAAUACAGUGGAGGUAGGCGGAAUGCGUCAUGUAGCGGUGAAAUGCUUAGAUAUGACGCAGAACACCAAUUGCGAAGGCAGCUUGCUACACUGUUAUUGACACUGAGGCACGAAAGCGUGGGGAUCAAACAGG
rnacentral:rRNA from 1 species